rnacentral:rRNA from 1 species
AGGGUUUGAUCAUGGCUCAGGAUGAACGCUGGCGGUAUGCCUAACACAUGCAAGUCGUACGAGAGUUUUUAACUCUAGUGGCGGACGGGUGAGUAACACGUGAGAAUUUGCCUUUAGGAGGGGGAUAACAAUUGGAAACGAAUGCUAAUACCCCAUAUGCUUUCGAGUGAAAUGGAUUUAUAUUUAUCCGCCUAGAGAGAAGCUCGCGGCUGAUUAGCUUGUUGGUAAGGUAAGAGCUUACCAAGGCGACGAUCAGUAUCUGGUUUGAGAGGACGAUCAGACACACUGGAACUGAGACACGGUCCAGACUCCUACGGGAGGCAGCAGUGGGGAAUUUUCCGCAAUGGGCGAAAGCCUGACGGAGCUAUACCGCGUGAGGGAAGACUGCCUAUGGGUUGUAAACCUCUUUUUUCGGGGAGGAAUAAAAUGACGUGUACCUGAAGAAUAAGCAUCGGCUAACACCGUGCCAGCAGCCGCGGUAAGACGGAGGAUGCAAGUGUUAUCCGGAAUCACUGGGCGUAAAGCGUCUGUAGGUGGUUUAAUAAGUCAACUGUUAAAUCUUGAGGCUCAACUUCAAAAUCGCAGUCGAAACUAUUAGACUAGAGUAUAGUAGAGGUAAAGGGAAUUUCCAGUGGAGCGGUGAAAUGCGUAGAUAUUGGAAAGAACACCGAUGGCGAAAGCACUUUACUGGGCUAUUACUAACACUCAGAGACGAAAGCUAGGGUAGCAAAUGGGAUUAGAUACCCCAGUAGUCCUAGCCGUAAACUAUGGAUACUAGAUGUUGAACAGAUCGACCUGUGCAGUAUCAAAGCUAACGCGUUAAGUAUCCCGCCUGGGAAGUAUGCUCGCAAGAGUGAAACUCAAAGGAA